CGCGUAGGCGGUUUGUUAAGUCAGAUGUGAAAGCCCCGGGCUCAACCUGGGAAUUGCAUUUGAAACUGGCAGGCUAGAAUGCAGUAGAGGGAGGUGGAAUUUCCGGUGUAGCGGUGAAAUGCGUAGAGAUCGGAAGGAACACCAGUGGCGAAGGCGGCCUCCUGGACUGACAUUGACGCUGAGGUGCGAAAGCGUGGGGAGCAAACGA
rnacentral:rRNA from 1 species